GAGUAAUGUCUGGGAAACUGCCUGAUGGAGGGGGAUAACUACUGGAAACGGUGGCUAAUACCGCAUAACGUCGCAAGACCAAAGAGGGGGACCUUCGGGCCUCUUGCCAUCAGAUGUGCCCAGAUGGGAUUAGCUGGUAGGUGGGGUAACGGCUCACCUAGGCGACGAUCCCUAGCUGGUCUGAGAGGAUGACCAGCCACACUGGAACUGAGACACGGUCCAGACUCCUACGGGAGGCAGCAGUGGGGAAUAUUGCACAAUGGGCGCAAGCCUGAUGCAGCCAUGCCGCGUGUAUGAAGAAGGCCUUCGGGUUGUAAAGUACUUUCAGCGGGGAGGAAGGUGUUGUGGUUAAUAACCGCAGCAAUUGACGUUACCCGCAGAAGAAGCACCGGCUAACUCCGUGCCAGCAGCCGCGGUAAUACGGAGGGUGCAAGCGUUAAUCGGAAUUACUGGGCGUAAAGCGCACGCAGGCGGUCUGUCAAGUCGGAUGUGAA
rnacentral:rRNA from 1 species